UGUUAUCCAAAGGAUCCACGCAUUUCAUGUGGACACUGUUCCACGUUCUCCCUGAAUCACUAGAGCAUCUUAAUACUACAGCAUCAUCCUUUUCUCGCAUUGUCUCUGAAGCCACACACGCAGCCGCGACACACCGUAUCACCAAACGACGACAAACGCGCGCGUUUCGCAGCUCCCGAACUCGGAGAAGCAAACGCAGCGGCGUGACUCGUACGUAACUCGCAACUCGCGGCGAUGGCUUCGCUCCACAGCACCGUCGCUCCACGCACCUUCUUGCCGUCCAUUGCCAAGCCCAAGCCCAAGCCCAAGCCUGAUGCUACUCAUGCUAAAUUUCCGGCGGCGAGAUUUUCACGGAACCGCGUUUUCUCGGGAAGCAAACGCGCGGUGGCGGCGAACUCGGCGGCGGAGGAGUUCGACGUGAUAUCGGUGCAGAGCGGCGACAUUACCGACCAGCAGGAGGGCGUGGUGGUGAGCCGCGUCGAUAUGGAAGGCGGAGACGGCGAAUUGGCGACGCAGGUGAGCGGAUUCGGAGCGAACGAAGGAUUGUUGUCGUUGGAAGGUUUUUCUUCUUCUUCUUCGGCGUCUUCUUCUGCGUUGGUUGGGAGCGAGAGCGAGGAGGAUAUGGAGAAGCUAAUUGAUAGAACUAUCAACGCUACGAUUGUGCUCGCCGCUGGUACUUUCGCCAUCACCAAACUUGUCACUAUUGAUAGUGAUUACUGGCAUGGAUGGACGCUAUUUGAGAUACUCAGAUAUGCGCCUCAGCACAACUGGUCUGCUUAUGAGGAAGCUCUCAAGACAAAUCCGGUUCUUGCCAAGAUGAUGAUUAGUGGGAUUGUUUACUCUCUUGGGGACUGGAUUGCACAGUGCUUUGAAGGAAAACCCCUGUUUGAGUUUGACCGUGCACGGAUGCUCAGAUCUGGGCUUGCUGGUUUUACUCUUCAUGGUUCUCUUUCUCAUUACUAUUAUCAGUUCUGCGAGGAGCUAUUUCCUUACGAAGAAUGGUGGGUAGUUCCUGCUAAAGUUGCCUUCGAUCAGACUGUAUGGUCAGCAAUUUGGAACAGCAUUUAUUAUACGGUUGUUGCAGUUCUGCGUUUUGAUCCUCCAAUCGCUAUUUUUAAUGAAUGGAAGGCAACGUUUUUUCCCAUGCUGACGGCGGGUUGGAAACUAUGGCCAUUUGCCCAUCUCAUUACUUAUGGAGUGAUACCAGUUGAGCAAAGACUUCUCUGGGUGGAUACCAUAGAGCUUAUUUGGGUGACCAUACUAUCCACAUUUUCAAAUGAAAAAUCAGAAGCAAGAAACUCAGAGUCUAUAGUGCCGACAGAAGUGAAAUCCACCACAUCUGCUCAUCCUCCCGAGGAGUAAAGGUAGAGAUAUGACCAGAAGCAGUGGCAGAAAAAGGGCUUUGCUCAGUCAGAUUUUGUCCUUGAUAAAGGGCAUAGAUUUAUAAUGUGGAAUAUGAAAAAGCUAAUUGUAUACGUGUAUAUGUUGCAUCCCUCGGAAUCUCAUGUAUGUUAGGCAUAUGAAUUCUUAUGUCUUCCCGAUGCAGCUGGAUGAAUGACUUCCCAUAAAUAAUGGUAAUUGCUCUAUUCUUUAAGCGAAAGAAACUGUUGUGCCUUGUGACGGUGAAAACUCUGGUAAGCUAUUUUAGCGGUUGAAGACCUUAUGGUUAUGUCUUCAAAUCACUCUUUCCUAUACGAACAGUGAAGAUAUUUGAUGUAUGAUAGUGGUGGGUUAUAGACUCAGCGGUGUACCAUUAGUGGGGAAUCCUCAGUUAAUGUGAGGCUAGAGUGCACCGAUAUCAUGUGGUGUGUGGAUUCAUUAACACAGGAAAAUGUCAUAAUGUCAUAUUUUGAUCUAGGUCAGUUUGAAGAACUGGAUUUAUUUAGUUUUGUGUAAUCAUGUGGCUGGUAGCCUUCACCGUGUUGGCCCUUCA